UCAGACUGCCAGACUGGGAAAACUCCAUCUACAGGACAGGUAGAAAGCAGCCAGCAGCAAUGCUGGCAUGCCCACAUUGCCCUCUUCAUGGUCUUCAUCCUCAUUUGAAGUAGCCACCACCAGGGAUGAGAGGAUAGCUUCCAGACCGCUUAGCAUCUGCUCUCUUGCUGAG
ensembl:misc_RNA